AAGGGCUGAGGCUCAGGCCAGCAACAGUUGAGAGCUGAGUUGAGCAGCAGCACCAAGAGACCUCAACAUGAGAACAUUGUGUGGAGGUGCAAGGAUGUAAGGACCACAAACUUCACGAGUUGUGACCCCAGCCAGAACCUGACAGAGCUAUGUACAGAAAGCAAUAAAGAGACAACAUGGAUGACCCAGGCAGUGGAGUUUUUGACCUUAAUGGCAGUUGGUGAAAUCUGGAAGUGGUGAAAAAGCAAUUCCUUCCCUGAGGACUCAUGAGCUAUGCUGUGCAAAAUGAGGUAUCCCUUCCUUCCUAGCUCUGAGUUUGCUGUUUGACACUACUGCCUCUUAUAAUGUCUACACACAAGUUUUUAUCUAUCUUCUGAGUGUCUUUAAGCUUCUCCUUUUAGAUUCAGGAAAUUAAUUUCCAAAAAUACCUUAUAAAGUCUAAAUAAUUUUUAAAUUAUUGAUGUUUGAAUGUUUUAGGUGGAAUAAGAUAUGUGUUUUUCACAGAAUAGUUAAGUAUGUAUUUUGACCAACAGUAAACAAUCUCUUUUAGCUUUAUAUAAACAUGAUAAAACUCAAAGCCCUCAAAAUCUGACUCGGAAUAAAAUACAAAAUUAUAUUUAAGGUCAUCUAAUAGCAUCUUUUGUUGUGUGUAUCAUUUCAGAAAGGAUGGAGUGUUCUCUGUAAUAGAGACUGCUGAAAUGUCUUAAUUAAAAAUACUUUAUUUUAAAAUAUUUCAUCAUAUCAGAACUUUUAUUUUAAAGAAAUGUAUUUUAAAUAAAAUGUCUAAAUUAAAAAUGUUAA